rnacentral:snRNA from 1 species
GUGCUCGCUUCGGCAGCACAUAUACUAAAAUUAGAGCGAUACAGAGAAGAUUAGCAUGGCCCCCUGCACAAGGAUGACACACAAAUUCGUGAAGCGGUCCACAUUUUU